AAGGUUUUAAGUUAAUUAAACUAAUAAUCUUCAAAAUUAUAUAUAAAGAAAAUUUCUUUAAGCCUUA
rnacentral:tRNA from 1 species